rnacentral:rRNA from 1 species
AUUGAACGCUGGCGGCAGGCCUAACACAUGCAAGUCGAGCGGAUGACGGGAGCUUGCUCCUUGAUUCAGCGGCGGACGGGUGAGUAAUGCCUAGGAAUCUGCCUGGUAGUGGGGGACAACGUUUCGAAAGGAACGCUAAUACCGCAUACGUCCUACGAGAGAAAGCAGGGGACCUUCGGGCCUUGCGCUAUCAGAUGAGCCUAGGUCGGAUUAGCUAGUUGGUGGGGUAAUGGCUCACCAAGGCGACGAUCCGUAACUGGUCUGAGAGGAUGAUCAGUCACACUGGAACUGAGACACGGUCCAGACUCCUACGGGAGGCAGCAGUGGGGAAUAUUGGACAAUGGGCGAAAGCCUGAUCCAGCCAUGCCGCGUGUGUGAAGAAGGUCUUCGGAUUGUAAAGCACUUUAAGUUGGGAGGAAGGGCAGUAAGUUAAUACCUUGCUGUUUUGACGUUACCGACAGAAUAAGCACCGGCUAACUCUGUGCCAGCCGCCGUAAUAC